rnacentral:lncRNA from 1 species
UGGCAGCCCCAAAUCCGGGUCCCGAAUCUCCGCGGAUCCGGUUCGCUAUUUCUACAACUAUUUGCGGAAGAUAUAAACAUAAAUUGUUUAUACAUUACAUUACACACUAUUCCCCAAGGUCGAGUAACCUUUACUUAAACACAAAUCAUAAGCUAUUUAACACAUAACAAUACUAUUCUUCAACCAUACUUUUACAAAUUAGCUGUACAUUCUAUCCCAAGCUGAACUUGGCAUUUUCCUUUUCCUGUAACUGGCCGUAUUCGCCUUAUCUGCAAUGUUUUAUCAUGAUAUAGCAAGGGUGAGCAUGAAAGUUGCCCAGCAAGUUUAAAAACAAUGCAAAGAUAUAUCAUGAUGGAAAGAGUUUGAAUAAUAAGCUGACUAUCCUUCACAAUGUAUUUGUGAAUUAGCAUGAACAAAGUUUUGACUGAACAAGUAUUUAACUGGAAUAACAAUAUAUCUGGACCAACUGGUAAUGAAGGUGAUCAGCCUUUCAUACCNNNN